UACGUAGGAUCCAAGCGUUGUCCGGAUUUAUUGGGUUUAAAGGGUGCGCAGGCGGCCUGAUAAGUCAGUGGUGAAAGCCCGUUGCUUAACAACGGAAUUGCCAUUGAUACUGUCGGGCUUGAGUACAGUUGAGGUUGGCGGAAUGUAUCAUGUAGCGGUGAAAUGCUUAGAUAUGAUACAGAACACCGAUUGCGAAGGCAGCUGACUAAGCUGUUACUGACGCUCAGGCACGAAAGCGUGGGGAUCAAACAGGAUUAGAUACCCUGGUAGUCCACGCUGUAAACGUUGAUAACUCGAUGUUGGCGAUAUACAGUCAGCGUCCAAGCGAAAGCGUUAAGUUAUCCACCUGGGGAGUACGCCGGCAACGGUG
rnacentral:rRNA from 1 species